AGUGAACGCUGGCGGUAGGCCUAACACAUGCAAGUCGAACGGCAGCACAGUAAGAGCUUGCUCUUACGGGUGGCGAGUGGCGGACGGGUGAGGAAUACAUCGGAAUCUACUUUUUCGUGGGGGAUAACGUAGGAAAACUUACGCUAAUACCGCAUACGACCUACGGGUGAAAGCAGGGGAUCUUCGGACCUUGCGCGAUUGAAUGAGCCGAUGUCGGAUUAGCUAGUUGGCGGGGUAAAGGCCCACCAAGGCGACGAUCCGUAGCUGGUCUGAGAGGAUGAUCAGCCACACUGGAACUGGGACACGGUCCAGACUCCUACGGGAGGCAGCAGUGGGGAAUAUUGGACAAUGGGCGCAAGCCUGAUCCAGCCAUACCGCGUGGGUGAAGAAGGCCUUCGGGUUGUAAAGCCCUUUUGUUGGGAAAGAAAAGCAGCAGGUUAAUACCCCGCUGUUCUGACGGUACCCAAAGAAUAAGCACCGGCUAACUUCGUG
rnacentral:rRNA from 1 species